UUUGUUAGGAUGAGCAUAUUGAUAUGGAUUGUUUGGUUGUUUUCUUGGAUGAUACAAAAAUGUGUUGAAACCCAUAUGUGUUUGAGGAUGACGAAUGUGCAAAUUGAUCAAUUUUGUUGAAAACCACUCAUAUAGUGAGGAUUGAGCCUUUAGAGCAAUAAUUUGAAUGCUCCUUAUUUGUUUUUGAUGAGUGUUAUGCAUGCUUGACUUCUUGAUAUUCGGUUUGCCAUGUUGCCAUAAUCAAAUUUUUUGGAAUUGGACUCAUUUGUGAAGGUGAUUUAGGCAUUAGGAAAAAAACCUCAUUGGCCUUAAAAAUUUUCUACCUUUUGCAUAUCCAUUAGUGAGGCAUUUUGAAGCAUUGACCCUUUUUAUUGUUAUAUAUGAUUGAAGCCUCGAAAAUUUUAGCCAUUAGCUUUCUUUUAGCCUUGCUUUGUCCCUUUCCAACAUGAUGCAAGUGGUUUUAUUUUGUGAUAUUACUUUGUUGGAAGAAUAAGGUUGAUUGAAAUUUAGUGCUUGGUUGGAAUGAUUGAGGAUUGAAAUUGAAAAAAAUGAGGUUCUGGGUUGUUUAAGAAUGAGGUGAUGUUAUGAUGUCAGUUCAAAAAAAAAAAAAAAGAGAGAAAAAAAAUCGUGAAAAGUACCAUCUGACAAAAAAAAAUGCCAAAAAAAAGAAAAAAAAGAAAAAAAAAAUAGAAAAAAAAAGAAGAGAAGGAGAAGAAAAUGUUGGAGUUUGAAUGCUUAUGUAUUGGGAAUAAGGGUUGAUUUGAUUGAGUUUGAUUUUGGGAUUCGAAUGUGGUGAACUACUUACAUUUUGUUGGUUUUAUUAGCCUUGUUUAUCCGCUUUNCACAUCAGGGUCAAGGGAAAAACAGUCUUAAUUCAAUAAUCCUGCGUCAGUGUUUAUUGGUUUUGAAUCGGGUUUCUCUAGAAAUUAAUGUUGUCGGCUCAUUAAACCUAUAGAGCGUCUCUUACGGUUGUCAGUCGAUUAGGGUAGUAAUUAGUGAAGCGUCUUCCUGAUUACCGAAUAAUUAAGGAGAAAUAAGAUCAUGUCAGAAGAAUCUUCGGUAGUUAUAACUAGUUUGCUUGCAUGAAUUAAAGUCAUAUUUGCAUCAAUGAUCAGAAUAAUUAAGCUAGGGCGGACUUAAUUGAUUGCUGGAAUUAUUUUAUUAAUUGUUUGAAUUUUCUAUUUAUUUAUUUAGGAUUAGAACCAUUUCAAUUAUUUUGGGUUUUAUUUAUUUAUUUUUAUAUUUAGUAUUUUCUCAUAAUUUCCCAUAAAUUUCGUUCGUUGAGUUACUUUGUAGGUUGAAUUUUAGGAGAAUUCUCUCCGAUCCCUUGGGAGACGAUUUUGCUUGCUGAUGUCUGCGCAGUGUGGGCAUACCGACUGACUGUCGGAUAUUUUUGGUGUAAAACGACGCACCAAAUUUUGGCGCCGUUGCCGGGGAUCGGUUUUUAAGUAGUAAUUUUCCUAUUUUUCGAUUUACUUUAUUUUAUUUUAUUUUUGUUUGAUGUUGAUCUAGAGCUGAAGCUGAAAUAUGUCUGAAGAUGGGGAUGAUGACAGUGAUGAUAUUCUGCCACCACCACCAUUGAUAAGAGAGUUGGACCGCCACAAGAGAAAUCAUCCGCUAUGCAUUGUGUUGCCCACGAUAAAUCAAAAUGCUGAAAUCAAGCCUGACUUCAUUCAAGUUCUUCCAAAAUUCAGCAACUCGCUUGGAGAGAGUGCACAUAAACAUCUUGCUGAAUUUGAUUUAGUUUGCAUUACUUUACGCCCUCAAGGUUUUUCUGAAGAUCAUUUAAGAUUACUAACUUUUCUCAUACAUUGCAGGGUAGAGCUCGAGAUUGGUUGCUUGAUCUAUCGCCUGGCUCAAUCAGAACUUGGAACGACUUAGAGGAGCAGUUCUUGCAUAAAUUCUUUCCAGAAUCAAAGGCUGCAAAUCUAAGAAUAGCUAUUAGUAGCAUCAAGCAAAGGCAACAAGAGUGUUUAUCUGAUUAUUGGGAGAGAUUUCAACAAUUGUGUCAUAGAUGUCCUAACCACGGAUUUUCUGAUUAUCAAUUGCUCAUUAAUUAUUUUUAUCGUGGUAUGUCUUCUUUUGACAUGAGGAUUGUUGAUGCUGCUUGUGGAGGAAGUUUGACCAACAAGACCUUGGAUGAAGCGAAACAAUUAAUUUUUGAUAUGGUCUCCAAUGGUCAACAAUAUGAGGAUGAGGAUGAUGAUAGGUACAGGCCGGUCAACAGAGCAGAAGAUGCAUGUGUGAAUGAGAAACUCGAUGCUCUAACUUCCUUAGUUAGAGGCUUUGUUGGAGCUCAAAUUCAGAAGGAUAAUCAUCCAAAUUUCAGCUGGAAUCAUUCGCCUGAAUUUUUCACCAGCGCACAGCCGCAGGCUGGGCGGUAUGCCCAUACCGACCGCCCAGAGCCCAGUAUGAGCGAUAUUCUUCAGAGUCUGGCACAGAGCAGCCAGAUUAUUAACAAUCUGGUGCAAAGUCAGCAAGCUUUCCAGCAAGAGACGCAAGCUGCGUUGGGUAGUAUGGGCGCACAGAUCACUCAACUCACUACUCAAGUGAACAAGUUGCAAGCCAAUCAUGGAAAACUUCCAUCUCACGAAGAAGUACAUCCUAGGGAGUAUGUUUAUGCUGUGAAUUUAAUGAGUGAGGAAGAUUUAUGUGAUCCAAAGCCUAAUGAAGAUGAAAAGGAGACAGAAGAGCAAAAAAGUGCUCAAAACGAUGAAGUUGUCGAAGAGGCACAACAAUAUGAAAAUAUCUCUUCUUCCGAGGUAAGUGUUGAAUCUAAAAUUUCUAAUUCUAAAGCACUAAUUCCUUUCCUUUUUCCUUUCAGGUUGGCCCAAAACAAGGAAAAAGAAUGUGGUAGGGAGAUUCUGGAAAUAUUCACGAUGAAUAAAGAACCACCAGAAUAUUAUGAUGAAAUUCAAGGGUGUAAAGUGCAGUCGAACUCCACCAAUGAAAUUCACACUCGAUAUCUGUCGCGCGGUAUGCCCAUACCGACUAGCACUGGACAGAUUGUGCCUUCAAUUGUGAAACUGCCAAAGCGGAAAUUGAAACCACCUGAUGAUUGAUCCAGUUUCAGGGAAGUUCUUUUUAGUUUUCUUUCGUUUUUAUUUUAUUUUAGUUUUUUUUUCUUAUCUUUUAUGUUUUCUUUGUUUUGUGUCUUUAUUCUUAGUUUUUCUCCACACAAUGAGGACAUUGUGUUGUCUAAGUGUGGGGGAGUUUUUAUGUCUUUUGUCUUGAGUCUGUGUGCUCGUUUUGUUUUGGUUUUUGUUCGGUGUUUGUGAGUCUGUCUAUGCCAACUUUCAUGCGAGCAUUUUUGAUUUGUUAGGAUGAGCAUAUUGAUAUGGAUUGUUUGGUUGUUUUCUUGGAUGAUAUGAAAAUGUGUUGAAACCCAUAUGUGUUUGAGGAUGACGAAUGUGCAAAUUGAUCAAUUUUGUUGAAAGCCACUUAUAUAGUGAGGAUUGAGCCUUUAGAGCAAUAAUUUGAAUGCUCAUUGUUUGUUCUUGAUGAGUGUUAUGCAUACUUGACUUCUUGAUAUUCGGUUUGCCAUGUUGUCAUAAUCAGAUUUUUUGGAAUUGGACUCAUUUGUGAAGGUGAUUUAGGCAUUAGGAAUAAACCUCAUUGGCCUUAAAAAUGUCCUACCUUGCAAUAUCCAUUAGUGAGCCAUUUUGAAGCCUUGAACCUUUUUAUUGUUAUAUAUGAUUGAAGCCUCGAAAAUUUUAGCCAUUAGCCUUCUUUUAACCUUGUUUUGUCCCUUUCCAACAUGAUGCAAGUAGUUUUGUUUUGUGAUAUUACUUUGUUGGGAGAAUAAGGUUGAUUGAAAUAAGAUGCAUUGGUUAGAAUGAUUGAGGAUUGAAAUUGACAAUAAGUGGUUGUUGGUUGUUUAAGAAUGAGGUGAUGUUAUGAUGUUAGUUUCAAAAAAAUAAAAUUAAAAAAAAGAGAAAAAAAGAGAGAAAGAAAUAAGAGAAUGUUGGAGUUUGAAUGCUUAUAUGUUGGGAAUAAGGGUUGAUUUGAUUGAGUUUGAUUUUGGGAUUCGAAUGUGGUGAACUACUUGCAUUUUGUUGGUUUUAUUAGCCUUAUUUAUCCACUUUUGUUUAUCCUACCUAUGCACCCUAGCCCCAUUACAACCUUGUGGAAAGACCUAUUGAUUCAUGGAUAAGUUUAGUUUUCGAAGUGAAGAUAUUGACAUAGUGGCAAACUUAUAAUGGAUAGAGUCGAGUUGCAUGUGUGUGAAUUUAC
rnacentral:lncRNA from 1 species